rnacentral:rRNA from 1 species
GGGGCGCGGACCCAGGUUGGUAGUCGUGGGGGUGGGGACCGUUUGCUCGCAGCCGUAGGUAGCGGUCAGGGGUUCGUGUGGCGGGUUCCCGGGUGCGGGGUAGGGGGCUGUGAUAGGACGGAGCGACCGCGUGGUACCUGCAGAAGGAGAAGACGGAUCUUGAAGAAGCAGCAACCACGAACGCACGCGUGCUGUCGGUGUACACCACACUCCUCUUCGGUUCGAUUUUCUUCUUGUGUGAAAGAAGUGUGCGCACACGUGCGUUCUGUCCGUGUCUCUUCUAGCCUCGGUGGCUGGGGUUGUCGCCUUGUAGUCGAUACUAGUUCAAUCGCGUUUCCAAAAGACACGACGUUUUCGUUCCUACCUCCGGAGCUUCCUGGUAGUAAAAGACAUCGAUCCUACGUCUUCUCAUGCCUAACCAAGUUCUGGGGCUGUUAAGUAGAGUCUGCCAAAUACUAAGUACCCAGUUUAGGUUACGAAGAGGGUUGUAAGUUGCUGACCCGUUACCUCCUAGUCUGAUACGUCGUAAGCAAGUUGUACAACCGUAAGGUAGUUGGUUGAACUAUAAACCUCUUCCCGGUCCUAUAGGACAAAUGGUGAGAAAUAUGCUACUAAAACAUACCUACCUCUUCAAACGUCUGGGAUCCAAGACAACCGUACAGCGUCCACGUCGGGGCAUAAGUAAAACACUACACACAAUGAGGGAGGCAAAUGUUUAUAUUCUACAAGAUUGGAAAAAGACUUGGCCUACGUAUAUCAGUACAAAAUCCCACAUACAAGUGAGUAAAAUCAAGCAUACAUCAGGUAUAACUUUAUAGAUUUUGUAGAAUUUAAACACUUUCCUCACUCAUCAUGAACCAACGAAGUGUCGUAUUGGUUGUAGUAGUAGAGUGUCGACGAUCGGCGACGUCGUAGUUGCUGUUGUCGCACCGCGAGGACCACGAGGAGAGGGAGAGGACGGAACGUACGAUGUUACGGUGGCGGAGGAAGGACAUGUUUUCCAAACUCACUCCUUUUUAAGGUCGAGUACUUGCUUGUACUUCUUCAAGAUUACACU